rnacentral:snRNA from 1 species
GUGCUUGCUUCAGCAGCAUAUGUACUAAAAUUGGAACCAUACCGAGAAGAUUAGCAUGGCCCCUGUGCAAGAAUUAAAAAUUAAGCUAAAGAAGCAAGGGAUUGGGUC